CUGAAUCCUGUCACAACCUGGGAGGGUUAAACCCUCUGAAGAUCUCAGCAGGGAGAGGGCCACUGGAACUCUCAGGCCUCCCUCCUGACUUUACCCGCCUGGCUCAGCCUUCUCCUGAUUGGAGAAUGACCAGGUGUCUGAGACCACCUAGACCACUUAGAUUGCAGGUGAAAAUUCUUCAAGAUGGGAUUUGCUCCUGCUCCUCAUCCUCCACCCCUGCUCUGGCAGGUGAUCCUUUGUGAGCUAAAGCCCCGCCUCCACCUCAGGAAUGACCAGGUCCCUGGGCCCUGAGGGCUUUGGAAGGGACCAGCAAAUGAAAGGAGCCUGAGUGCUAAGGCCACCUGGCCGGCAGGGAGAAACAGGAUCAAGCAGCCACCCUGGAGCCAUUCCCGAGGAUCUGCCCAUACUGGAAGCUUAAUACCAGCAAGAUUAGUCACACAAAAAUAACAGGAAGAUGACCUGCACAGACACAUCAAACAGCAUUGAAGGGAUGGUGAGGAGCUGUCAUCUAAGAAGACAUUUUUGGCAUUUCUACUUUUUAAAAAAUAUGUCAGUAAAAGUAAUGGGUUCAAG